rnacentral:rRNA from 1 species
CCUAAAGUUAGUUGGUAAGCUCCAACUAAGGCUAAAUAUCACUGUGAGACCGAUAGCAAACAAGUACCGUGAGGGAAAGUUGCAAAGCACUUUGAAGAGAGAGUGCAAUAGGACGUGAAACCGCUUGCAGGGAAACAGAUGGACCCACGAAGUCCUGUGUAAAGCUUGAUAGUUGUAAUGAUUACCAAGUACUAUACACGCGGAGCUCUGACUUGUAAGGCGAUAUAAGUAGUUGAUGUAAAGUGUAGUGUUGUAUAGUUGUAUACUUCGUGUAUAUGCAUGUACCUCGCUGCAUUCAAUUGCUUGCUUUACAGGUUUGUUUUACUUCUACCUAGUAGAGGUAUAAACAGGUUGCUUGGUGUACAGUGAAGGGUGAUGUGAAUGCGGUAAGAAGGAAAGAUGAACAACUGNGGUUUACUCUUGUAGUACUCUUCGGGUCUUUGCUUCUUCUCAUUCAACUAAGCAUCAUCAUCACACACCAUUAGUAAGCAAUUCCAGAGUAAGUAGGUCGGCAUCCAUCUGA